UACGGGGGGGGCAAGCGUUGUUCGGAAUUACUGGGCGUAAAGGGCGCGUAGGCGGCUUUUCAAGUCGGGCGUGAAAUCUCCGGGCUUAACCCGGAAGGGUCGUUCGAUACUGUUGAGCUAGAGUGUGGAAGAGGCAACUAGAAUUCCGUGUGUAGCGGUGAAAUGCGUAGAUAUACGGAGGAAUACCCGAGGCGAAGGCGGGUUGCUGGGCCAACACUGACGCUGAGGCGCGAAAGCCAGGGGAGCAAACGGG
rnacentral:rRNA from 1 species